rnacentral:rRNA from 1 species
GUGCCAGCAGCCGCGGUAAUUCCAGCUCCAAUAGCGUAUAUUAAAGUUGUUGUGGUUAAAAAGCACGUAGUUGAACCUUGGGCCUGGCUGGCCGGUCCGCCUCACCGCGUGCACUGGUCCGGCCGGGCCUUUCCCUCUGUGGAACCCCAUACCCUUCACUGGGCGUGGCGGGGAAACAGGACAUUUACUUUGAAAAAAUUAGAGUGCUCCAGGCAGGCCUAUGCUCGAAUACAUUAGCAUGGAAUAAUAAAAUAGGACGCGCGGUUCUAUUUUGUUGGUUUAUAGGACCGCCGUAAUGAUUAAUAGGGACAGUCGGGGGCAUCAGUAUUCAACUGUCAGAGGUGAAAUUCUUGGAUCAGUUGAAGACUAACUACUGCGAAAGCAUUUGCCAAAGGAUGUUUUCAUUAAUCAAGGAAACGAAAGUUAGGGGGAUCGAAGACGAUCAGAUACCGUCGUAGGCUUUAACCAUAAAACUAUGCCGACUAGGGAUCGGGACGGGUGUUAUUCAUGACCCGUUCGGCACCUUUACGAGAAAAUCAAAGUGCUUUGGGCUCCGGGGGGAGUAUGGUCGCAAGGCUGAAACUUUAAAGAAAAUUGACGGAAAGGGCACCACCAGGGGUGGAGCCCUGCGGCCUUAAUUUUGACUCAACACGGGGAAAACUCACCCAGGUCCAGACACAAUAAAGGAUUGGACAGAUUGAGAGGCUCUUUCCUUGGAUUUUGUGGGUGGUGGGGGCAUGGCCGGUUCCUUAGUUUGUAGGGGUGACUUGGUCGUGCUUUAAUUGCGAAAAACGAACGGAAGACCUUUAACCCUGCUUAAAUAAACCCGCCAUUGCUCCAGCAAGGAGCCCUGACUUUCUAAAAGGGAUUUUCAGGCUUCAA